UACAGAGGUCCCGAGCGUUGCUCGGAUUUAUUGGGCGUAAAGGGUGCGUAGGCGGCGGAGUAAGUUGGGUGUGAAAUCCCGGGGCUCAACCUCGGAAUUGCAUUCAAUACUGCUUCGCUCGAGUACUGGAGAGGAGGCUGGAAUUUACGGUGUAGCAGUGAAAUGCGUAGAUAUCGUAAGGAAGGCCGGUGGCGAAAGCGAGCCUCUGGACAGUUACUGACGCUGAUGCACGAAGGCCAGGGGAGCAAACGGG
rnacentral:rRNA from 1 species